CUGGCUUCUUCAAAUACUCCUUAUGAAGACAUGGCAAUGUCCAUGUUAAAUCUAGGGUAUGGAUAUCUUUAACAGCCUCCAGUCGAUAAAUUUUACUAGCUUUCCAAAUACGUAAAUCAUACUGAGUGUUGUUCUCUAAUGGAUGACCAGCACGAACAUUACUGAAAAGCUCCACUACCCAAUCCUCUAAGGUGUCGAGGG
rnacentral:misc_RNA from 1 species